UCGUUAAAAUACAACGCCUGGAAAUGGCAAAAACGCCACUUUUUCCAUUUUCAGGCUGAUCAGACAUUGUGGGGUUGAGUUAUGAAGCCUUCCAGGUCAAUGGCGAAGCAUUGAGGUUUGUCAUGCCGCCAUGGACACGCCCCUCUCCGAAAACUCUAGAUCUUCACAAUAUAUCAUCACUAGAGCUUUUAGAUAACACUACCCAAUUUUGGUGCUGAUACGAUAA